rnacentral:tRNA from 1 species
CCGGUCGUGGCAAGGGUGGUCAUGCGGUUCUCCUCAGCGGGGUGUGAUCGGGGACGGCGGCCCCGGUCGCGGGGGCUCGGAGCGCCCGCGACCGGAC